CAGCAGCAGCCACGGUAAUACAGAGGGUGCGAGCGUUAAUCGGAUUUACUGGGCGUAAAGCGUGCGUAGGCGGCUUUUUAAGUCGGAUGUGAAAUCCCUGAGCUUAACUUAGGAAUUGCAUUCGAUACUGGGAAGCUAGAGUAUGGGAGAGGAUGGUAGAAUUCCAGGUGUAGCGGUGAAAUGCGUAGAGAUCUGGAGGAAUACCGAUGGCGAAGGCAGCCAUCUGGCCUAAUACUGACGCUGAGGUACGAAAGCAUGGGGAGCAAACAGGAUUAGAGACCCCGGUAGUCCCUGUCUCUUAUAC
rnacentral:rRNA from 1 species